AAUGAACGCUGGCGGCGUGCUUAACACAUGCAAGUCGAACGAGAAAGGGAUUGCUUGCAAUCCCGAGUAGAGUGGCGCACGGGUGAGUAACACGUGGAUAAUCUACCUUUGAAUCCGGGAUAACUGUUCGAAAGAAUCGCUAAUACCGGAUGAGAUCAAUAUUUCCUUGGAAAUAUUGAUGAAAGACAGCCUCUUCUUGAAAGCUGUUGUUUGAAGAUGAGUCCGCGCACCAUUAGUUUGUUGGUGGGGUAACGGCCUACCAAGACCAUGAUGGUUAGCUGGUCUGAGAGGAUGAUCAGCCACACUGGAACUGACACACGGUCCAGACUCCUACGGGAGGCAGCAGUGAGGAAUUUUGCGCAAUGGGGGCAACCCUGACGCAGCAACGCCGCGGGAGUGAAGAAGGCCUUUGGGUCGUAAAACUCUGU
rnacentral:rRNA from 1 species